GAGGGAGGGGGUGGGGAGGAGGAGCUGGAGCGGGUGGGGGAGGGAGCCGUGGCCUUAAGAAAGGAGAGGAAUGCGGACCCCUACGCCCGGGGCUGGAGAGGCCAGGCCUGAAAAGGAAUAGAGAGACAUGGUCCUGAGAGAGGAGGAGAGGGAGGGGUGUGGAGACCCCAGUCCCAAGGAAGAAAAGGGGAGAAGGGGAUGGAGAUUUCAGACCCAGGGAACAGAUGGGGCUGAGGUAGAAACCCCAACCUUAGAGAGAGGAAGGGGAGGAGAUGAAGUCAUCAGCCUCAGAGGAAAAGACAGGACACUCUCUCCUCCCGUAUCUGUGGGAAAGAGAGGGACAGCCAGCCCUAUGGAGAGGGAGAGGCAUAGGAGCCCCAGGACCCCCUCACCUCACCUUCCGGGACGGUCCCUUCUUCCUCCAGCUCAGCCUUUGUUCUUUGAGGCUGAAGGACCUAAACUCCCAGCUGGGCCCCCAGCCAGUAUUUAUCUACAAGAGCAAUGGAGACAGAGCCGAAGCAAAAUUGAUGGGGGGGUGUCUUUGGUAGACAGGACUGGAGGAGAGUGAAUAGAAGCCCCUAGAGGUGGUGCCUGUCAGAACUGUGAGGAGCCUUCAAAAACCACCCAUCCACAUCCCUCCCUUUAUAAAGGAGAGAAUCCAAGUACAGAGAGGGGAGAGCCCUGCCGGAUCCCGCAGGUAAAGACAAUCCAACUCCAGCUGACUGGAUCAUCUAGAGGAAAGAGACGGUGGAGGUGACAGAAGUCGUUUUGCCUAGCCGUUUAGUAUUGACCUGCUUCAAGAUCUCCAGGAAAUUAUAGAAGCCACGUCAGAUCACACAAAGCAAUCAGUAGUACCAGCAGUUCCCAACCUGGAGGAUUGAAAACACGUUCCCCAGCAUGCUGCCAACAGCAGCCAGCAUCAAGAGGCUCUGUAAUUACAGACAUGCAGGGGUUUGUGCUCCUGCUCUCACUCAUCUAUGAAACUCUUCCAUUCUCCUCCUUUCCCAUGGUGCCUUUAAAAAGGCAAUGUGAGGCUGAGGCCUUCAGAAAAGCAAGUUCCAACUCCCUAUUCCACCGUGGACAGACUUCAACCCUCACUACAAUUCAGAUUCACUCAGUCGUGUGUUCA